rnacentral:rRNA from 1 species
UACAGAGGGUGCAAGCGUUGUUCGGAAUUAUUGGGCGUAAAGCGCGUGUAGGCGGCUUUGCAAGUCGGGUGUGAAAGCCCUCGGCUCAACCGAGGAAGUGCGCCCGAAACUGCAGAGCUUGAGUACCGGAGAGGAUGGCGGAAUUCCCCAAGUAGAGGUGGAAUUCGUAGAUAUGGGGAGGAACACCGGUGGCGAAGGCGGCCAUCUGGACGGAUACUGACGCUGAGACGCGAAAGCGUGGGGAGCAAACAGG